rnacentral:tRNA from 1 species
AUUUAAGUAGUUUAAGUGAAAAUGUUGAUUUGUGGAGUCGAGGAUGUAGGAAUACCUUAAAUA